rnacentral:lncRNA from 1 species
CUUCUCGGUCAUUUCUCUUUAUUAGGUUUAUUACUUACCUUGGCCCGUUAACAAGUCCUCAUUGGCUAAAGUGAAUAGAUACUAUACACCAGAUAGGAUUCUAGAGAAGAUAAGGUGAAUCAUUAAGACCGCUUAAGUACUAAGCUCUCCGUAGAUCCAAUCCUAGACAUGCAUAUACCCAUUACCACACCUGAACCUUAUGACUCCUCCACGGUCGCA